CCAUUUUCUUUAUAACCUCCUAAAUGCGGAUCUACACACAUCAUCAAAUCAGAAUCAUGUGGGAAAGGACUAGGCAGAAUUGGAAUUUUCUCUUUGAACUUCCGAGUUCUGGGAGUGCUACUCUGCCAUCCUCCCCCCCCCACCACCCUCCAGGCUUGCUUUACACUUUCAUGGAAUUGCCGCUAAAAAAAGACAUUUAAGAGAGAUUUUGAUACCCGUAUGGUGUACAGCAGUGUGAAUGUACGUCAACUGACCCCUGAAAAAUGGACAGACGGUAUUCUCGGAGCAAACCAUGUGAAUCGCUGAAGUAAUCUUUAUCGAAUACUUCCAACGUGUUAGAUAGAUGUGCUUACCGUGAAUGACCUCAUUUAAACGUGAAGAUGGAAAAAGUGUCUGAGAAAGAGAAAGAGAUCUUUGCAAGAGCUAAAUUCAAAGGAUAUGCCCGAUAAUCCACUCUGGUCACUGCCUCAUUUCCUUCUUCUUAUUCAGGAAAAAAAAAAUGCAAUCUUCCUAGGCCUUCUAAAAAUUGCGCUGGCACCUGAGAGAGUACCUGGGAUCGGAAGGUGGAUCUUUCCGUGAGCUCUGCCACAGGCUUGUAUUGUUACCUCUCCCUGACCAUUGUGAAACAGUGCACAUCAAACGAAUGAUUUUGUGACUUUCCCCAUCAAAGUGUUUGGUAGCAUAUGGGGAGGGGAAGGAUAGAAAGUAGGAGAAAACACCAAUACCAGUGUGGUGAGAUCGACUCAGCUUUGCUGUGAAUAAGGGCUCAAUUCCUAUUAAGGACUUAUUGGCUGUAGGACCUUGGGAAAGCUACUUAAUAUUCCUGAAUUUCAGUUCUCUUAUUAGUUAAAUUUGAGGCAAAAGCUCAUACUUUGCUGGGUUCAAGUGAGAUUGAAAUGAGAUAAUGUAUAUAAAUUUGCCUGAUACAGAGCAAGUUAUAUGUAGAAAUUUCGUUUCUUCGCAACCUUGCUGAAGACACCCAUCCUUUCCUGCCCUUCCCCGCAUCCCUCUUAUUGUUAGAUUAACUUAAAUUUAACGGACAUAUUUAGUACCGAUGACACAC
rnacentral:lncRNA from 1 species